GCCUUCUUGGUGUAACGGUAGCACACUCGGCUAGUAUUUGAGAGAUCCAGGAUCGAGUCCCAGAGAGAACA
rnacentral:tRNA from 1 species